GAUUCACCAUCACUGAUCUAGAUCAUAGUCCAAGAAAAGAAAUAGCUUUAGAAAACAGAGCUUGAUUCUGAAUACAACACCGGGGAACCUUGUACUUUACCAGCCUUUUGUUUUCCUACUAGAGACACUUGACUUUGUCUCCAUCCCAAGAGAUCUCCUUCCAGCACCACCAUCUGUCCAGAAGGGGGACUAUACUAUUAAUGCCACAGUUCCUGGCUGAAGAACACUCCUUUCUUUCUCUUUAGUUGGUUUUGUUUAGAUUUUGUUCUUUCCUCACUUUUUUCCCCAGCUCAAAGAUUCUGGCACUUCCAAGCCUAUUACGUUCUUACAUUUGGCAGAAGUGUGGGGAAGGAAUAACAAAGUGGAGGAAUUCCAUGGAGACUGGAACAACCUCCAGGAAGUGAUGCAGAGUGAGAGGAGCAGAACCAGGAGAACAUUGUACACAGAGACUGAUACACUGUGGCACAAUCAAAUGUAAUGGACUUCUCCAUUAGUGGCAAUGCAAUGAUCCAGGACAAUUCUGAGGGACUUAUGAGAAAGAACACUAUCCACAUUCAGAGGAAGAACUUUGGGAGUAGAAACAGAAUAACAACUGCUUGAUUACAUGGGUUGAGAGGAUAUGGUUGGGGAUGUGGACUCUAAAUGAUCACCCUAAUUCAAACAUCAACAACAGGGAAAUACAUUCUGAUCAAGGACACAUGUAAUACUCAGUGGAAUUGCACGUGGGCUACAGGAAGGGUGGGGGUAGGGGAGGGAGGGAAAGAAUAUGAUUCUUGUAACCAAGGAAUAAUGUUCUAAAUUGGCUAAAUAAAUUAAUU